UACGUAGGGUGCGAGCGUUAAUCGGAAUUACUGGGCGUAAAGCGUGCGCAGGCGGUUUGUAAGCCAGAUGUGAAAUCCCCGGGCUUAACCUGGGAAUGGCAUUUGGGACUGCAAGGCUUGAGUUUGGCAGAGGAGACUGGAAUUCCUGGUGUAGCAGUGAAAUGCGUAGAUAUCAGGAGGAAUACCGAUGGCGAAGGCAGGUCUCUGGGCUGAGAACUGGACGCUCAUGCACGAAAGCGUGGGGAGCAAACAGG
rnacentral:rRNA from 1 species